AUUGAACGCUGGCGGCAGGCCUAACACAUGCAAGUCGAGCGAGCGGCGGACGUGUGUGUAGUGUAUGGGGAUCCGCCCGAUAGAGGGGGAUAACUACUGGAAACGGUGGCUAAUACCGCAUACUAUGGGAUGAACCCAUAUGGGUUUCGCUAGUAGGUGGGGUAAAGGCGUAUCUAGGCGACGAUCUCUAGCUGGUCUGAGAGUAUGAUCAGCCACACUGGGACGUAGACACGGCCCAGACUCCUACGGGAGGCAGCGAUGGUGAAUAUGGCACAAUGGGCGCAAGCCUGAUGCAGCCAUGCCGCGUGUAUGAAGAAGGCCUUAGGGUUUUAAAGUACUUUCAGCGGGGAGGCGUUACCCGCAGAAGAAGCACCGGCUAACUCCGUGCCAGCAGCCGCGGUAAUUC
rnacentral:rRNA from 1 species